GCCUCGUUGGCGCAGUUGGCAGCGCGUCGAUCUCUUAAUCUGAAGGUUUUGAGUUCAAACCGCACAUGAGGCA
rnacentral:tRNA from 1 species